rnacentral:misc_RNA from 1 species
CCGAGUUAGGGUCUUCUAAGGCCCGACCUCCCACCCUUGUGUUUAACUAUACCAUGUUGCUUCGGCGGGCCCGCUCCUCCGGGAGCCGCCGGACUUGGUCAUCCAAGUCUGGCCCGCGUCCGUCGAUAGCCCAACUUCAAACUCUUGAUAAACUGUGUUGUCUGAGUUAUAAACAAGCAAAUAAAACA